UACGUAGGGAGCGAGCGUUGUCCGGAUUCAUUGGGCGUAAAGAGCUCGUAGGCGGCUUGGUAAGUCGGAUGUGAAACCUCCAGGCUCAACCUGGAGUCGCCAUCCGAUACUGCCAUGGCUAGAGUCCGGUAGGGGCCCACGGAAUUCCUGGUGUAGCGGUGAAAUGCGCAGAUAUCAGGAGGAACACCAAUUGCGAAGGCAGCUCGCUGGGACGUUACUGACGCUGAGACGCGAAAGCGUGGGGAGCAAACAGG
rnacentral:rRNA from 1 species